rnacentral:rRNA from 1 species
GCAGUCGAACGAUGAACCACUUCGGUGGGGAUUAGUGGCGAACGGGUGAGUAACACGUGGGCAAUCUGCCCUUCACUCUGGGACAAGCCCUGGAAACGGGGUCUAAUACCGGAUACCACUCGCACGGGCAUCUGUGCGGGUUGAAAGCUCCGGCGGUGAAGGAUGAGCCCGCGGCCUAUCAGCUUGUUGGUGAGGUAAUGGCUCACCAAGGCGACGACGGGUAGCCGGCCUGAGAGGGCGACCGGCCACACUGGGACUGAGACACGGCCCAGACUCCUACGGGAGGCAGCAGUGGGGAAUAUUGCACAAUGGGCGAAAGCCUGAUGCAGCGACGCCGCGUGAGGGAUGACGGCCUUCGGGUUGUAAACCUCUUUCAGCAGGGAAGAAGCGAAAGUGACGGUACCUGCAGAAGAAGCGCCGGCUAACUACGUGCCAGCAGCCGCGGUAAUACGUAGGGCGCAAGCGUUGUCCGGAAUUAUUGGGCGUAAAGAGCUCGUAGGCGGCUUGUCACGUCGGGUGUGAAAGCCCGGGGCUUAACCCCGGGUCUGCAUUCGAUACGGGCUAGCUAGAGUGUGGUAGGGGAGAUCGGAAUUCCUGGUGUAGCGGUGAAAUGCGCAGAUAUCAGGAGGAACACCGGUGGCGAAGGCGGAUCUCUGGGCCAUUACUGACGCUGAGGAGCGAAAGCG